CCUACGGGAGGCAGCAGUGAGGAAUAUUGGUCAAUGGGCGGGAGCCUGAACCAGCCAUGCCGCGUGCAGGAAGACGGCCUUCUGGGUUGUAAACUGCUUUUAUACGAGAGCAAAAGGGUCCUGCGGGACAGAUUGAGAGUAUCGUAUGAAUAAGCACCGGCUAACUCCGUGCCAGCAGCCGCGGUAAUACGGAGGGUGCAAGCGUUGUCCGGAUUUAUUGGGUUUAAAGGGUGCGUAGGCGGCGUAAUAAGUCAGUGGUGAAAGCCGGCAGCUCAACUGUCGAGGUGCCAUUGAUACUGUUAUGCUUGAGUACAGACGAGGUAGGCGGAAUUUAUGAUGUAGCGGUGAAAUGCAUAGAUAUCAUAAAGAACACCUAUAGCGAAGGCAGCUUACUAGGCUGUAACUGACGCUGAGGCACGAAAGCGUGGGGAGCGAACAGGAUUAGAUACCCUGGUAGUCCACGCUGUAAACGAUGAUGACUCGAUGUUGGCGAUAUACCGUCAGCGUCCUAGCGAAAGCGUUAAGUCAUCCACCUGGGGAGUACGCUGGCAACAGUGAAACUCAAAGGAAUGACGAAUCUCGACUGCAGAUUUUUCC
rnacentral:rRNA from 1 species